UGCCAUUCUGGCUUGUUGGAGGACACAGGUGGGCUGAGGUUUCAUUGGGUCUGCAUAACUGUGUGGCUUCUGCCUCUGCCCAUUCUGUUGCUUCUCCUUCCCCUUCCCAGAUGUUGACCCCUCAUGAACACCUUGCACUCCAGUAUAUUUCUAAGUGCUUCUGAGAGCCCGGCCUGCAACACCACUUCUCCCCUCUGCCUCCAGCCUAGAGAUGGGAAUGGCUUCCUGCUGGUGCUAAUCUCUAGGUGGCCUCACCAUGUCCCAUUUGGACACUCUGCUCUUGCAUCAUCCAUGUAAUCAAUUAACUGCAUUAAAUCCCCAUCUCUUUAAAUAAAGUAGGUUCUGACACAGCCAACAUUAUACUGAAUGGGGAAAAGUUGAAAGCGUUCCUCCUGAGAACUGGAACAAGACAAGGAUGUUCACUUUCACCACUUCUAUUCAACAUAGUACUGGAAGUCCUAGCCAGAGCAAUCAGACAAGAGAAGGCAAUAAAGGACAUCCAAAAAAGUAAAGAGGAAGUCAAACUGUCACUGUUUGCUGAUGAUAUGAUUGUAUACCUAGAAAACCCUAAGAACUUAUCCAAAAAGCUCCUAGAACUGAUUAAUGAAUUCAGUAAAGUUUCAGGAUACAGAAUUAAUGUACACAAGUCAGUAGCACUGCUGUACACCAACAGUAACCAAGCUGAGAAUCAAAUCAAGAACUCAGCCUCUUUUACAAUAGCUGCAAAAAAUAAAAUAAAAUACUGAGGAAUAUACCUGUUACCAAGGAGGUGAAAGACCUCUACAAUGAAAACUAUAAAACACUGCUGAAAGAAAUCAUAGAUGACACAAACAAAUGGAAACACAUCUCAUGCUCAUGGAUGGGUAGAAUCAAUAUCGUGAAAAUGACCAUACUGCGAAAAGCAAUCUACAAAUUCAGUGCAAUUCCCAUCACAGUAUCACCAACAUUCUUCACAAAGCUGGAAAAAGCAAUCCUAAAAUUCAUAUGGAAUGAAAAAAGAGCCCGCAUAGCCAAAGCAAUACUAAGCAAAAAGAACAAAUCUAGAGGCGUCACAUUACCCAACUUCGAACUAUACUAUAAGGCCAUAGUCACCAAAACAGCAUGGUACUGGUAUAAAAUAGGUACAUAAACCAAUGGAACAGAAUAGAGAACCCAGAAAUAAAGCUGGAUACUUAUAGCUAACGAGUCUUCAACAAAGCAAACAAAAUAAAGUGGGGAAAGGACACCCCAUUCAACAAAUGGUGCUGGGAUAAUUGUCAAGCCACAUGUAGAAAAAAUGAAACUGGAUCCUCAUCUCUCAUUUUAUACAAAAAUCAACUCAAGAUGGAUCAAAGACUUAAGUCUAAGACCUGAAACCAUAAAAAUUCUAGAAGAUAACAUUGGAAAAACCCUUCUAGACAUUGGCAUAGGCAAAGACUUCACGACCAAGAACCCAAAAGAAAAUGCAACAGAAACAAAGAUAGAUAGGUAGGACUUAAUUAAACUAAAUUACUUCUACACAGCAAAAGAAAUUAUCAGUAUAGACCACCCACAGAAUAGGAGAAAAUCUUUGCAAUCUAUACAUCUGACAAAGGAUUAAUAUCCAGAAUCUACAAGGAACUCAGAUCAGCAAGAAAAAAACAAAGAAUCCCAUCAAAAAAUGGGCUAAGGACAUGAAUAAACAAUUCUCAAAAGAUGUACAAAGGGCCAACAAACAUAUGAAAAAAUAUUCAACAUCACUAAUUAUCAGGGAAAUGCAAAUCAAAACCACAAUGAGAUGCUACCUCACUCCUGCAAGAAUGGCCAUAAUCAAAGAUCAAAAAUAAUAGAUGUUGGCAUGGAUGUGAAGAAAAGGGAACACUUUUACACUGCUGGUGGGAAUGUAAACUAGUACAACCACCAUGGAAAACAGUGUGGAGAUUCCUUAAAGAACUAAAAAUAGAUGUACCAUUUGAUCCAGUGAUCCCACUACUAAGUAUCUACCCAGAGGAAAAGAAGUUAUUAUACUAAAAAGAUACUUGCACAUGGAUGUUUAUAGCAGCACAAUUCGCAAUUGCAAAAAUAUGGAACCAGCCCAAAUGCCCAUCAAUCAAUGAGUGGAUAAAGAAAAUGUGAGGGAUAAAAGACUACACAUUGGGUACAGUGUAUACUGCUUGUGUGAAGGGUGCACCAAAAUCCCAGAAGUCACCACUAAAGGACUUAUUCAUGUAACCAAACACCACCUGUUCCCCAAAAACCUAUUGAAAUGGAAAAUAAAUAAAGUAGGUUCUGUUUUCC
rnacentral:lncRNA from 1 species